rnacentral:ncRNA from 1 species
GUGUUGUAUGAAGGGAGAGAAGGUUAGCACUCCCCUUGACAAGGAUGGAAGAGGCUCUCGGGCCUGUACAACAUGCAUAUGGUAUAGUUAAAAUAUAAUGAUUAAAUAAAGAAAAUUUUAU